GUGGCGUUGUAAGGGGCGCUCAUAGUCGUUCCAACAAGACACGAUUUGCUGACCGAUUAUAAGCGCAAACUCAGGACUUCCGUUGCCCUGCAAGGUGAAUGUGGCGUUGUAAGGGGCGCUCAUAGUCGUUCCAACAAGGCAUUUUGCUGACAGCAAGGCGAUUUGCUGACCCAUUAGAAGCGCAAACUCGGGACUUUGGUCGCCCUGCAAGAUAAAUGCUGAAUUCAAGAGAAUAACUACAAUGCCCUUGCAGUCGAGAUUCCUGUCCCAGCUAGACAUAUUGUCUGACAAGCUGCUGAAGCUGUUCAAAAACAGAGGAGGACAGAUUGACAAACGCCUAGAGAACAUUUUGGCUUGCAUGACUGAGAUUAGAGAAUUUGAGAAUUUUGGGAUAGUGCUGAUUAGUGUUGACAUAGAAUUCCAUGAAAUAAUAAUUUAUCCUUCCUUGAUGCAGGAUGAUGAUGUUGAUGGGGGAUGUGAAUGCAUCCUGAAGGCAUUGUAUGUGUUCCUUGUUAAAAUUCCAUAAAAUAAUUUAUCCUUCCAUCAUGCAGGAUGAUGAUGACAUUGAUGGAGGACGUGAAUGCAUCCUGAAGGCAUUGUGUGUGUUCUUUGUUAAAAUUCCAUAAAAUAAUUUAUCCUUCCUUGA